AUUGAACGCUGGCGGCAGGCUUAACACAUGCAAGUCGAGCGGAGAUGAGGUGCUUGCACCUUAUCUUAGCGGCGGACGGGUGAGUAAUGCUUAGGAAUCUGCCUAUUAGUGGGGGACAACAUUCCGAAAGGAAUGCUAAUACCGCAUACGCCCUACGGGGGAAAGCAGGGGAUCUUCGGACCUUGAGCUAAUAGAUGAGCCUAAGUCGGAUUAGCUAGUUGGUGGGGUAAAGGCCUACCAAGGCGACGAUCUGUAGCGGGUCUGAGAGGAUGAACCGCCACACUGGGACUGAGACACGGCCCAGACUCCUACGGGAGGCAGCAGUGGGGAAUAUUGGACAAUGGGCGGAAGCCUGAUCCAGCCAUGCCGCGUGUGUGAAGAAGGCCUUUUGGUUGUAAAGCACUUUAAGCGAGGAGGAGGCUACCUGGAUUAAUACUCUAGGAUAGUGGACGUUACUCGCAGAAUAAGCACCGGCUAACUCUGUGCCAGCCGCCGCGGUAAAAC
rnacentral:rRNA from 1 species